CGUCAAUCUUCAAAAACGUCGAGCUUCUAAACCGUCGUGCUUAAAAAAUGUGAUUCUUCCAAAACUGCCGUCUGAUCAAUCUAAGACAUUUCUAACAAUGGUAGAGCAGCUUAUCUCAACUCAUGCUUCAUUCACGAUCCAUUCUUCGAACUUCUCGUACUUCAAAUUUCCCGAUCGAUCUGUAUUGCCCGCGACUCAACCACAAAGAUACUCGACCAUUCUCUCUCUCUUUUCUUUUUUUUUUUUUUUUUUUUUUUUUUUUUUUUUUUUUUUUUUUU
rnacentral:lncRNA from 1 species